rnacentral:rRNA from 1 species
CCGUUCCUACGGGAGGCAGCAGUGGGGAAUAUUGCACAAUGGGGGAAACCCUGAUGCAGCGACGCCGCGUGAAGGAAGAAGUAUUUCGGUAUGUAAACUUCUAUCAGCAGGGAAGAAAAUGACGGUACCUGACUAAGAAGCCCUGGCUAACUACGUGCCAGCAGCCGCGGUAAUACGUAUGGUGCAAGCGUUAUCCGGAUUUACUGGGUGUAAAGGGAGCGUAGGCGGCGCGUUAAGUCUGAUGUGAAAGCCCGAGGCUCAACCACGGGAGUGCAUUGGAAACUGGCGGGCUGGAGUGCCGGAGG